UUAAAAAUAAGCUAAAUAAAGCUUUUGGGUUCAUACCCCAAAUAUAUAGAAAUCCCUAUUUUUUAAA
rnacentral:tRNA from 2 species